rfam:Hordeum vulgare subsp. vulgare, WGS project CAJW01000000 data, contig: morex_contig_67903
UGUUUGCUAUGAGGAGAUCACAAGGACGGUAUCUGAGAAAGGUGACUUUUUAAAAAGAGCCACCGCCCUGAUUAUAAAUCCUAAACUGAUCAAACUUUCUGAGCAAAUG